CCUAAGAACACAGUUGAAUGUGCCUUGAUUUCUUUCUACCCAGGACAUGGAAAAAAAGAAAGAUUACCAGUUCAAGGGAUGCUUCAGUGAGCAGUCAUGUUUCCAGGUCGAUCAGAAACCAAGAUAUGCUAUCUCCCAAAGGAGAAUCAGGAUCAGAUAUCUCAAGCAGUUGGAACAAGAGGGUAAUGGCAGCACUGGACUUUGUAUCACCCUUUGGGACUCUCAGCACGGAUUAUACUUCUGGGAAUCCUGUAUAAGUGUUGGUAUGAUGAUAAUAGUUCCAAGGGCUGGAUGCCUACCCUCUGCAAUGAUAGGUACACAUGAGGAUCAAAUGGACAGAAGCUGGCCAGGGUCUCUAAACAGAAGAGACUCUAAGAAACCCCAUAUCUAUUUCAAGAACUGUAGCCUGCCAAGGAGGUGGGGCUCAUGAGCUGACUUCCACAAGCCCUGAUUUCUCUGAAUGGAACCACAAAGGAUGAGACCAUUGUUGUGCCUCCCAGCUCUUCACAAGCCAUGUGUAAUGCUGCCAGCAUUGGGAAGUAACAUCUCCACACAUCAUCAGCCAUGUUCCUUCAAUGUGCCCACUACAACAAACGCAAGAACUUCUAGAUCUUUGCUUCUGCAAAGGAAAAUAGCCUCAAAUUGUCCCAGUGAACUCAGGGCACAGACAGUUGGCCAAGAUAGGGGCAGGGACAGUCUGUGGCGGUUUCAUUCCUUUACACUUUGUGGUGACUGGCAAUGUGCCACACAUUUCUUGAAUGUGUAAUGAAGAGUUGGAUGUGAGUGCAGAAUUAAAGGUUAUUAACACACAAUCACCGCAGUCCUAGACAGGCCUUCUUUCACCAGAUCAGGCCAAUUAGUAGAACGCA